rnacentral:tRNA from 1 species
GCCGUCAUAGCUCAAAGGCAGAGCAUGGGUGUAUGAAGGGCCGUGUCCCUGAAUGCACCCCACUGAUGCCGGUUCGAUUCCGGCUGGCGGUA